UGGGCGUAGCCAAGUGGUAAGGCAACGGGUUUUGGUCCCGCUAUUCGGAGGUUCGAAUCCUUCCGUCCCAG
rnacentral:tRNA from 1 species